CUCGCAAGAGAGGUCAACGGGGGGAACUGAAACAUCUCAGUACCCUCAGGAAAAGAAAACAAAAGUGAUUCCCUUAGUAGUGGCGAGCGAACGGGGAGUAGCCCAAACCGCAGAUGUUUCGGCAUCUACGGGGUUGUAGGAGUAACACUAAUGUACUAUGCACUUGUAGAAGAACGACAUGGAAAUGUCGACCAUAGAGGGUGACAGUCCCGUAUUUGAAACGAGUUUAUAGACAGAGUUACCACCUGAGUAGCGCGGGACACGAGAAAUCCUGUGUGAAUCUGCGGGGCCCAUCCCGUAAGGCUAAAUACUUCCAAGAGACCGAUAGUGAACAAGUACCGUGAGGGAAAGGUGAAAAGAACCUCGAUAAGAGGAGUGCAAUAGACCCUGAAACCAUCUGCUUACAAGCGGUAGGAGCCCCUUCGUGGGGUGACUGCGUGCCUUUUGCAUAAUGAACCUACGAGUUACCGUUGCCGGCAAGGUUAAGUACAGGUAAGUACGGAACCGGAGCGAAAGCGAGUCUGAAUAGGGCGACGAGUCGGUAGAGGUAGACGCGAAACCAAGUGAUCUACCCUUGGUCAGGUUGAAGGAUAGGUAACACUAUCUGGAGGACCCAACCGGUAAGCGUUGAAAAGCUUUCGGAUGAACUGAGGGUAGGGGUGAAAGGCUAAUCAAACUUGGAGAUAGCUCGUACUCCCCGAAAUGCAUUUAGGUGCAGCCUUUGGUGUUUCUUGUAUGAGGUAGAGCGACUGAUUGGAUGCGAGGCUUUCACCGGCUAUCAAGUCCAGACAAACUCCGAAUGCGUACAAGUCAUAGCCAAGGAGUGAGGGCAUGGGUGCUAAGGUCCAUGUCCUAAAGGAGAACAAUCCGGACCAUCGGCUAAGGUCCCGAAAUCACUACUAAGUUGGACAAACGAAGUCAAGAUGCGAAGACAGCUAGGAUGUUGGCUUGGAAGCAGCCAUUCAUUUAAAGAGUGCGUAACAGCUCACUAGUCGAGGAUUUUGGCGUGGAUAAUAAUCGGGCAUAAGUAGUGUACCGAAGCUGUGGGAUGUGAAUACAUCGGUAGGGGAGCAUUCCUAUUGAGUUGAAGAUACAGGGGCGACCUGUGUUGGAUCGAUAGGAAAAGCAAAUGUAGGUAUAAGUAACGAUAAAGGGGGCGAGAAACCCCCUCGCCGAAAGACUAAGGUUUCCUGAUCAACGCUAAUCGGAUCAGGGUUAGUCGGGGCCUAAGGAUAAGCCUAAUGGCGAUUCCGAUGGAAGAACUGGUUAAUAUUCCAGUACUAAUAUAUUGAGUGAUGUGGAGACGGAGAAGUGACACUACUGCCGACUGACGGAAUAGUUGGUUGAAGGGUGUAGAUAAUUGGUUUGUAGGCAAAUCCGCAGACCGAGUCGAACCUGAGAGUACACUGCGUGCGUGCACAAAGUGAUAAUGUAGGUAAGCCAGCUCCCAAGAAAACCCGCUAAACAAUUGAUAUAUUACCCGUACCACAAACCGACACAGGUGGUUGGGUUGAGUAUACUAAGGCGCUCGAGAGAUUCGCGGUUAAGGAACUAGGCAAAAUGGUCCUGUAACUUCGGGAGAAAGGACGCCAGUGGCGACACUGGCCGCAGAGCAUAGGCCCAUGCGACUGUUUAACAAAAACAUAUGGCUGUGCAAAAUAGAAAUAUCACGUAUACAGCCUGACACCUGCCCGGUGCUGGAAGGUUAAGAGGAGAUGUCAUCGCAAGAGAAGCAUUGAAUUGAAGCCCCAGUAAACGGCGGCCGUAACUAUAACGGUCCUAAGGUAGCGAAAUUCCUUGUCGGGUAAGUUCCGACCUGCACGAAUGGUGUAA
rnacentral:rRNA from 1 species